UGGAGGAUCCAAGCGUUAUCCGGAUUUAUUGGGUUUAAAGGGUGCGUAGGCGGCUUAUUAAGUCAGGGGUGAAAGACGGUGGCUCAACCAUCGCAGUGCCCUUGAUACUGAUGAGCUUGAAUGAACUAGAGGUAGGCGGAAUGUGACAAGUAGCGGUGAAAUGCAUAGAUAUGUCACAGAACACCGAUUGCGAAGGCAGCUUACUAUGGUUUUAUUGACGCUGAGGCACGAAAGCGUGGGGAUCAAACAGGAUUAGAUACCCUGGUAGUCCACGCCCUAAACGAUGAAUACUCGCUGUUAGCGAUAUACAGUUAGCGGCUAAGCGAAAGCGUUAAGUAUUCCACCUGGGAGUACGCCCGCAAGGGUG
rnacentral:rRNA from 1 species